AUAGUUGGUGUACAGUGUGCUAACCUCUGCUGUAGAGCGGAGUGACUCGGUUACGCAGACGCAUGUUCCCUUUCAUGGUCUCUUCCGUCAUGUUCAUCACAGGACAUUGAAUGUAGCUCCUCGUGCUAAACAGCGGGACCCCCUUGCUUAUCCCUCCUAUAGAUACGAGUUCACAUCUGCUGAUCCCAAACUCCCCAUCCAUCCUUCCCCCACUCCCCUCCCUCUUGGCAAGUCCUUGCUCUGCCUGUGAGUCUGUUUCUGUCUCAUAGAUUAAGUUCUUUUGUGUCGUAUUUUAGAUUCUACAUGUAGGUGAUAUCAAAUGGUAUUUGUCUUUCCCUGUCUGACUUACUCAGAAUGAUAAUCUCUAGGUCCAUCCAUGUUGCUACAAAUGACAUUAUUUCAUUCUUUUUUAUGGCUGAGUAGUAUUCCAUUGUGUAUAUAUACUACAUCUUCUUUAUCCAUUCAUCUUUCAUUGGACACUUAGGCUGCUUCUGUGUAUUGGCUGUUGUACAUAGUGCUGCUGUGAACAUGGGGGUGCAUGUAUCUUUUCAAAUUAUAGUUUUGUCUGAAUAUAUGCCAGGAGUGGGAUUGCUGGAUUAUAUGGCAACUCUGAUGUUUUGUUUUUUUUUUCUUUUUUUGCAUUUACAUUUCUUUUUCUUUUUUUUUCAUUAAAGUAUAGUUGGCUGGAGCAGAUCCUGUGGUGCAGCAGGUUAAGGAUCUGGCAUUGUCACUACAGCAGCUUGGGUUGCUGCUGUGGCAUGGGUUUGAUCCCUAGCCCAGGAGCUUUCACAUGCCAUGGGUGCAGCCAAAACACAGUAUAGUUGAUUUACAGUGUUCUGCCAAUUUCUAUUGUAUAGCGAAGUGACUUAGUUAUACAGAUAUGUACAUUAUUUUUUAAUAUAUCCCUUUCCCAGGAGAUUGGAUAUAGUUCCCUGGCAACUCUACUUGUAGUUUUUUGAGGAAGCUCCCUACUGUUUCCCACAGUGGCUGCACCAACUUACAUUCCCGUCAACAGUGGAAGAGGGUUCCCUUUUCUCUACACUCUUCCCAGCAUUUACUAUUUGUCGACUUUUUAAUGACGGCCAUUCUGACAGGUAUGAAGUGGUACCUCCCUGCAGUUUUGACUUGCAUUUCUCUAACAAUUAGUGAUGUUGAGCAUCUUUUCAUGUGCCUCCUGGCCACCUGUAUCAUGUGUCUGUUUUCUAAUUGUUCACAGUCUCAUCGGUUUAUCACAACUGUGUUUUAACAUUGUGAUGUAUUUUGCCUCUAUUCUUUUCCUUGUGUAUCUGGUUUUUACAUGGGCGUAAUAAUACUUUUAUAUCCUGCUUUUUCUUUUAUUAUUAAGAGUUUUCCUGUAUUGCCAAAUAGUCCUCAUAGGAUACUGUGUGUUCCUAGUGCCUUGGGCUCUCUGGUUCCCAGGACUGAAACCACAAGGAACUGAAGCACAAGGCUCAGAGACCAUGCAGGGAGGAGACGUGAGUGGGGCCCAGACCAUGGAGUAGGCCCGGGAGGAGCACAAGAUUUUUAGCCAUGAGUCACGGGGAGGACGCGUGGGAUACAAAGAUCUGGGUUCUUCUUCCUAUCGGUGUAUCAGAUGAUAAUUAGCCUUCUCUACAUAUCAUCCACAAAACUGCUGAUUUAAAGAGGGUUAGAUGCUGGAAAACUUAGCAAGAAAGGAGAAGAAUAAUCAAAAAACAGGGUUUUUUUGGGGGGGUGGCACUCCUGCGGCAUGUGGAGGUUUCCCAGCCAGGGAUCAAACCUGUGCCAUAGGAGUGACCCAAGCCACUGCAGUGAGAACUCCAAAAAAGCACAUCUUAAUAUAAUUCUGUAGAGAAGCUGCAGUAUGGUAAUUAUGCUUAUCAGUAUAAUCUGGGUCAGAUUAAGUUGGUUAAAAGUUGGGUUUGUUAUUAACAGCAAGUCUUACUCAGUUAGUGGUUCUAGUAACACAGAUACCACUCCAUCAAUCAGCAGACUUUUAUUUCUCCCACCAUAAUGCAAGCUUAGGUAGCAUGACUACUUUGACAUUAAAAAAAAAAAAAUUAAAGGCACUAUUGAUGGAAGGUUUAGAUCAAUAGGUUUUCGAAGAGAGCUGAAUGACUUAGAAGUCAACAAAAAUUAUAAGACAUAUCCUGCGAGCAAAAGAAUUCCUUGACAGUACAGAAUUAAUGGGCUCUCUAGCUUCCAGAGGAGUCCUUUUAUUGCUAAAUAUUCAAAAGAGAGGACCAAGAAAACCCCAAAACAAACUAACAAACAAUACAGCAAAAGAGAGGACAAAAGCUCCUUUGGAAUUGAUAACAUUGCAAGGUACCCUUGGGAGAUUUUCAUACUGUUAAAUUGCAAACUUCUGAACUGGGCAGAUAGAAAGCUUGUGGGGUUCUUUAAAUUAUUAUUACUCAAAUGAAUUUAUCACAUCUGUAGUUGUAUAAUGAUCAUGACAAUCUGAUUUCACAGGAUUUCCAUCCCACAGCCCAAGCACAUCCCCCCACCCCCCUAAACUGUCUCCUCCGGAGACCUAAGUUUUUCAAUGUCUGUGAGUCAGCAUCUGUUCUGCAAAGAAGUUCAGUCUGUCCUUUUUUUCAGAUUCCACAUGUCAGCAAUAGCAUUUGAUGUUGGUGUCUCAUUGUAUGGCUGACUUCACUUAGCAAGAUAGUUUCUAGGUCUAUCCAUGUUGCUAAAAAUGCCGGUAUUUCAUUCUUUUUAAUGGCUGAGUAAUAUUCCAUUGUGUAUAUGUACCACAUCUUCUUGAUUCACUCCUCUUUCAAUGGACAUUUAGGUUGUUUCCAUGUCUUGGCUAUUGCAAAUAGUGCUGCAAUGAACAUCGGAGUGCGUGUGUCUUUGAGAGUCGUGGUUUUCUUUGGAUAGAUGCCCAGGAGUGGGAUUGCUGGAUCCAAUGGUAGUUCUAUGUUUAGUUUUCUGAGGAAUCUCCAUACUGCUUUCCCCAGUGGUUGCAGCAAUUUACAAUCCCACCAACAAUGUACUAGUGUUCCUUUUUCUCCACACCCUCUCUAGCACUUACUGUUUGUAGACUUUUUGAUGAUGGCCAUUCUGGCUGGUGUAAGGUGGUACCUCAUGGCGGUUUUGAUGUGCAUCUCUCUAAUCAUGAGUGACGUUGAGCAUCGCUUCAUGUGUUUCUCGGCCAUCUGUAUGUCUUCUUUGGAGAACUGUCUGUUUAGA
rnacentral:lncRNA from 1 species